GGGAAUCUUGCGCAAUGGGCGAAAGCCUGACGCAGCAACGCCGCGUGAGGGACGAAGGCUUUCUGAGUUGUAAACCUCUUUCAGCAGGGGCGAUUGUGACGGUACCUGCAGAAGAAGCACCGGCCAACUACGUGCCAGCAGCCGCGGUGAUACGUAGGGUGCGAGCGUUGUCCGGAUUUAUUGGGCGUAAAGAGCUCGUAGGCGGUUCGAUAAGUCGGGUGUGAAAUCUCCAGGCUCAACCUGGAGUCGCCACUUGAUACUGUCGUGACUAGAGUCCGGUAGGGGACCAUGGAAUUCCUGGUGUAGCGGUGAAAUGCGCAGAUAUCAGGAGGAACACCAGUAGCGAAGGCGGUGGUCUGGGCCGGAACUGACGCUGAGGAGCGAAAGCGUGGGGAGCGAACAGGAUUAGAUACCCUGGUAGUCCACGCCGUAAACGUUGGGCACUAGGUGUGGGGCCUAUUCAACGGGUUCCGUGCCGUAGCUAACGCAUUAAGUGCCCCGCCUGGGGAGUACGGCCGCAAGGCUAAAACUCAAAGGAAUUGACGGGGGCCCGCACAAGCGGCGGAGCAUGUGGCUUAAUUCGAGGCAACGCGAAGAACCUUACCUGGGCUUGACAUGUAGGGAAAAGCCGUAGAGAUACGGUGUCCUUCGGGGCUCUACACAGGUGGUGCUUGACUGUCGUCAGCUCGUGUCGUGAGAUGUUGGGUUAAGUCCCGCAACGAGCGCAACCCUUGUCCUAUGUUGCCAGCGGGUAAUGCCGGGGACUCGUAGGAGACUGCCGGGGUCAACUCGGAGGAAGGUGGGGGACGACGUCAAGUCAUCAUGCCCCUUACGUCCAGGGCUGCACACAUGCUACAAUGGCCGGUACAAUGGGCUGCUAACCCGCGAGGGGGAGCCAAUCCCUAAAGCCGGUCUCAGUUCGGAUCGCAGUCUGCAACUCGACUGCGUGAAGUCGGAGUCGCUAGUAAUCCCGGAUCAGCAACGCCGGGGUGAAUACGUUCCCGGGCCUUGUACACACCGCCCGUCACACCACGAAAGUCGGUAACACCCGAAGCCGGUGGCCCAACCCUUGUGGAGGGAGCCGUCGAAGGUGGGAUCGGUGAUUGGGGUGAAGUCGUAACAAGGUA
rnacentral:rRNA from 1 species